GGGUCAAUGAUGAAAACACAAAAUCAUGAAGAGAGGUGAUGACAUAAAAAUCAUGCUCAAUAGGAUGACACUGAGGUCA